rnacentral:rRNA from 1 species
UACGAAGGGGGCUAGCGUUUGCUCGGAAUGACUGGGCGUAAAGGGCGCGUAGGCGGAUUGCACAGUCAGAUGUGAAAUUCCCGGGCUUAACCUGGGGGCUGCAUUUGAUACGUGUAGUCUAGAGUUCGGAAGAGGGUCGUGGAAUUCCCAGUGGUAGAGGUGGAAAUUCGUAGAUAUCGAGAGGAACACCGGUGGCGAAGGCGGCCAACUGGACGAAGACUGACGCUGGAGACACGAAAGCGUGGGGAGCAAACAGG